rnacentral:rRNA from 1 species
UACGAAGGGGGCUAGCGUUGCUCGGAAUCACUGGGCGUAAAGGGUGCGUAGGCGGGUCUUUAAGUCAGGGGUGAAAUCCUGGAGCUCAACUCCAGAACUGCCUUUGAUACUGGCGACCUUGAGUCCGGGAGAGGUGAGUGGAACUGCGAGUGUAGAGGUGAAAUUCGUAGAUAUUCGCAAGAACACCAGUGGCGGAAGGCGGCUCACUGGCCCCGGUACUGACGCUGAGGCACGAAAGCGUGGGGAGCAAACAGG